CAGUCGCCACGGUAAUACAGAGGGUGCAAGCGUUAAUCGGAAUUACUGGGCGUAAAGCGCGCGUAGGUGGUUUGUUAAGUUGGAUGUGAAAUCCCCGGGCUCAACCUGGGAACUGCAUCCAAAACUGGCAAGCUAGAGUAUGGUAGAGGGUGGUGGAAUUUCCUGUGUAGCGGUGAAAUGCGUAGAUAUAGGAAGGAACACCAGUGGCGAAGGCGACCACCUGGACUGAUACUGACACUGAGGUGCGAAAGCGUGGGGAGCAAACAGGAUUAGAUACCCCGGUAGUCCCUGUCUCUUAUAC
rnacentral:rRNA from 1 species